CUCCCACCCUCAUGGAAGCUUUGCUUCUUUUCAUCUUAUAGUCAAAUAUUGAUCCACUCGACCUGUCCUCGAGGUUUUGAUUAACACAGAAGAUUGCCACGCCGAAGGUGCAGCUCUUCUUAUGGAGAUAGCAGAGACACAAGAGACCAAGCUCAACUACACAAGCAUAUUUCAUGUCUCUGCUUACGUCACAUCUGUCAUUAUCCCAUUGGCCAAGGUAAGUCACAUGGUUGAGUUCAAAGUCAAGGGACUGGAACAUCUUAUCCUCUGGGGUUGAGAGAAGGAAGAGGAUGUUUUUGAAUAAUAACCAAAUCUACCAUAUCAAUCAAAGUAUCUCUUAAUUCUGUGCUGGAGGUCUUUUGUCUGUUACCUUUGUGGCAAAUAUUUCCACUAAAUCUCCCCAAUAAACUUCUGGAAAUCCUAAAAGGCUCUCUUUGGGGAUAUUGUAUCAUAUCCUUCAUUUAAUGGAGGAGAUAAAUGGUAUUAUUUGACUUGCAGAGAAAUGGGUCCAGGGAUAGAAUAUGCAGGCAAUUUUUGUCACAUUGAUGGAUCAGGAAUCCCACAAAUUACCCAGUGGAUCCUCCAACCAACCAAAAGUUAUAAAGAAUUCAGGGGUUCUAGGAAGGUAAGGGGAGGCAUUUUUAUCUAUUGGAAACUGUCAACAGGGAGUUUUGUUUCCUUGUUUUAUGCAUUCAUUCAUUCACUAAAUAUUUUUAUUGAGCAUCAACUGUGGGUCAGGCAUUGUGCUGAGGGCACAUGGUGAAUAAAACAGCUGAGAUACAACUGUGCAGUGCCAUAAAAGAGAGGAACAUAGUGCUGCAAUUGAGAGCACUGGUAUGGGAGGGGAGAGGAUAACUUAUAGUGAUUAGAGGAGGUCUCACUGAAGAGGUAGCAUUUAGGCUGAGAUCUGAAGGGUGAGAAGGAUCUAGCCACAUGAAGAAUUAGAGAAAUUACAUAACCAUGAGGCAUAUCAGAGUUUAUUACCUAUAACAUUGAUGAGAAAUGUUAAAGAACCAAAAGGCAUUAUAUGAUGGAUUUCAUUGUAACUGCUUUAGAGAAAAAUGUCAUGAGAAAGAAAUCUGUGGCAAAUAAAAAGGGAAGUAAAGGGGAUAGAAUAGAAAUGCACUAACACUUUGUCCUGUUGUUACCCUCAAUAUCAUACACUUCACUGAUUAUACCCUCCAAAGUGUAUUGCACCCAGCAACAAAAAUUGACAUACAAUCGAAGCUCUGCUACAAAGGAGCUAGCAACUUUGGAAUCCUGUUUGCAUCUGAUCUGCUCACUGCAAUAUAACACGUGCAUAAAACAGUGCAACCGUAUUUGUUUUAAUAAGGCCAUUCUGAGCAGCUGUUUAAUGAUCCAUGAUGUUAAAUGAAAACUACAGGUGUUCCAAAUGCAAACCUUAUGGCCCAGGGCCCCCCUUAUUACCGUUCUACAAUUAGCAGCCAACUGCUCUUAGGCUGUGCAAAGAAUUACCACCAUCAUCAUUACAUUAUUUCUUAAUUUCAUUCUCUGCCUAAGUGUCUUCCCCCAAAGGAAAAACCUGCUUGGCAUGGGAAAGCAUAAGAGUGAAAAAAUGAAAAGGGAAGGAGAACACAAAACACUCCCUGUCCAACCACAAGGAGGCCUCAGUGAAGGGGGAAAGAGCCAGCCAAAAGGCUCAGCCCCCUAAGGAAUCUUCCAGAGUGACUUUCUGGCCAAACUUAACAAAGUCUUGCUGAAACUAUUGGUGUUCAUAAGGAUUGCAUUAACCCUUUCUUCUUCAUGAUUCCCUAAGCUUAAUACUGUGCUAAGCCAAAUUGCCAGAAAGCUGCAUAGCUGGAUUCCAUCGCUCUGUCUUGUAGAGGGCUAAUUUUAUGCAAGUAUAAUUUUAACAUCACAACAGUUUUCACUUAAGGUACAUAUAAUAAACUGCAAAGAAGGAAGUCUUCUGUAUCACUUGUGAAAUUGCUGUCUGUAUCAUUAUCCAUUACAUACCUCAAUACCUCUUACAUAAAAAUGCCAGAGACAAAUUUAAUUAGAGCUCGGGAACAAGUUUAUCUUUCCAUGUCAAUGGGUACACUUUUUUCUGCAAAACUAGUAAUUCUCAAUUCUGGCUGCAUAUUAGAAUCACCUAAUAGUAAACACAUUUAUUUGCAUCCCAGCUCCUUCCCAGACCAUUUAAAUUCAAAUUUCUAGGAGUGGGCACUGGGCAGGACCAUCGAGUUGCAGUUCCAGGGGUCACCAUUCACAAUGUGCUUGGCCAAAUUACAGUAUUAUACUCUGCUGCCAAAAUUGAGAACCACUGCCCCAGAAAAUGAGAGUUUUAUAACUCACUGAUUUUGCUUCUUCAUUUUGGUUACUAAGAAGCUCAAAACUAAUUAUACUGAAUUGCAGUUUUCCUCUGCCAAAAUUUCUCAAUACAAUUUUCCCUCUGCAUCCCCUCAUAUUAAUGCUUUUACCAGUACUUUCAGUGUAAGCUACCAAAUAUUCUUUUUGUAGGUAAAGUAAAAUAAAACAAUAAAUAAAAUAAAGAUCUAUUGGGAGGCACAAGUAGAUCUAUAUACAAAUUUAUAUACAAAUCUCCCAUAAUCACCCCAAACGUAAGAUGGCCAAAGAUGGGCCGGGCGCAGUGGCUCAUGCCUGUAAUCCCCAGCACUUUGGAAUGCCAAGAUGGGCAGAUCAUGAGGUCAGGAGUUCGAGACCAGCCUGGUCAACAUGGUGAAACCCCUGUCUCUACUAAAAAUACCAAAAAAAAAAAAAUUACCCGGGUGUGGUGGCACAUGCCUGUAAUCUCAGAUACUUGGGAGGUUGAGGCAGGAGAAUCGCUUGAAACCAGAAGGCGGAGGUUGCAGUGAGCUGAGAUCGCACCACUGCACUCCAGCCUGGGCAAUAAGAAUGAAACUCCAUCUCCAAA
rnacentral:lncRNA from 1 species